AUGAUGGAGAGCUUGCUCUCCUGAUUAGUGGCGCACGGGUGAGUAUACCAUAGAUAAUGUACCUCUUAGUUCGGGAUAGCCACUGGAAACGGUGAUUAAUACCGGAUACUCCUUCUUGUCUCAAGGCAAGUCGGGAAAGUUUUUUCGCUAAGGGAUCAGUCUAUGUCCUAUCAGCUAGUUGGUGAGGUAAUGGCUCACCAAGGCUAUGACGGGUAUCUGGUUUGAGAGGAUGAUCAGACACACUGGAACUGAGACACGGUCCAGACUCCUACGGGAGGCAGCAGUGAGGAAUAUUGCACAAUGGAGGAAACUCUGAUGCAGCAACGCCGCGUGGAGGAUGACGCAUUUCGGUGUGUAAACUCCUUUUAAGAGGGAAGAUAAUGACGGUACCUCUUGAAUAAGCACCGGCUAACUCCGUGCCAGCAGCCGCGGUAAUACGGAGGGUGCAAGCGUUACUCGGAAUCACUGGGCGUAAAGGGUGCGUAGGCUGGCUUUUAAGUCAGAUGUGAAAUCCAAUGGCUUAACCAUUGAACUGCAUUUGAAACUGGGAGCCUAGAGUUCAGAAGGGGCAGAUGGAAUUAGUGGUGUAGGGGUAAAAUCCGUAGAUAUCACUAGGAAUA
rnacentral:rRNA from 1 species